CCCACCCCCCGGCGGCGCGGGCUGGGCGCGCACGGGCCUGGCAGGCCGCGAGGCAGAGACCGUGGGGCCCCAGAAAGAUGCGCUCAGGUGCCUACAAAGAAACUGUUACUGUAGUGUUAGUCCUGAGGAGGAGGGAAGAUUAAAGGAAGUAGCCCAAAGACUCUGAGACACCUGAACCUGAUCAGGAAGCCCAUGAGAGCACGCAGCAGCAGGCCUUUUGAACCAGAGGCCCAGAUUCACACAGCAGACACAGAGGAUUCGGGAGAAGAGAGGUGCCUUAUGCCAGACCCUGAGUGGGAAGAAGAUGUCAACAAUGGAGCAGAGAUGCUGGUAAGAGGCGUGAAGCAUGGCUGUGGUGGAGGAUACAAUGCUUUUAAACACAGUUCAUUUUACAGAAAAAACUUAUUACUACUCUUUAUGGGUGAUUAGUGAGGAAGAUAGGCCUUUGUUAUCUUAUACUAAACAUUUAAUUGGCACUAGAAAUUAUAAAACCCUGCUUAGAAGAAGGGUUUACCAAAAUUUUUUUAAAUGUAUUUUUACUGGUGUACUUUUGCUUUUUCAGGAGAUUUGGGGGGGGAGGCGGGGGGAGAAUUAGCCCUGUGAGUGUAUUGUAAAGAUAAAACCAGCCAGACUUAGCUGUCAUUAGAAAUUAUGAAAGCCCUUCUUAGGAGAAGGAGGGUUUCGAGGGAAAAAAGCAGUAAAUAUUGUACGGAUUUGAUGGAAAUAAAGACUUAUAAAAUACA